ensembl:antisense
CUGAAAUGAGUGUCGUGAAGUCUUCCGGUACAGACCGCAUUCUGAUAAAUCGCUUGACCCAGCAAGAUAGCCUUCGAAACGCGGAAGUUAAGUGGACUCGACUGAAAUACGGAAGAGACGACUGCCUAAACUAAAUAAACCACUAUUCAAAUUAGACACUGUUAUUUAUCACGUUAUCUCCAGCAGGCGCAUUUGGGUGCUCACUUCAAACAGUGCACUGGGGAAAGAGACGUUUCCUCGUCCAGUUUUAAGUACUUGGUUUGUCAUUAUACACAGAACUAUUUUGCAUUUAUUAUAUAAUCCAUUGGGUUUUGUGACGCAAAUGAUGUUACCUUGGAUGUUUGAUUAGCAUGCCAUGGGGCCAGAAAACAGAUGCUAAAUAUUAAGCAUGGCAUGCAAUUUUAUUUAAUCUGAAUCUAGAACAUGAAACUUAAUUGCUUUCUUUGCAAAGUGAGAGUCCACAUUUCAUGACUUCGAUGGGCCUGCUGUUUGGAGUGGGGCCCACUUAUCCUGAGGAGGGAGACAGGUGAAGAAUGGGGGUGAUGCACAGCUUUCACAAGGAAACACAUAGCUGUCCAUCUCCAUCUGGCUCUGUGCUUUCGCUCUGUGCUUUCGCUCUGUGCUUCUCCGCUGUUUCACAGAGAUUGUGGAGAACAGAUCCCUGCCAGGAGACCUGCCCUUUGUCACCUGCUCUGUACCUCUCAUAAAGGAUGAUAAUCCAUCUGGUGUGGAGGGGGAAAGAGAGGUGAAGUGCCCUUUGACCUUUUGAAGGAGAGUGGAGCCGCUUCAUACCUCAUGGUCCUCGGCCGAGCUUGUUUGAUCUGGACUCACCUCAGUUCACACGUCUCAGCUUCUGGCACCAACCCAGAAAGAGGAGGGAUGUGAUGUAGAGCUGGUCGGAAUUGACCAGUUUAUUGGAAGAGCCCGAACUCAAGUUUUGUGAAGACAUACAGUACCUCUGAAAGUGCACCUAAGAUGAAUGAGGUCACCAGCAAAUACUAUGACAAUGUGACAGGGUACAGAGGUAUCUGUGAAGUUCAACUUUGUGAUGGAUGAGAUGGUGUCUUUGCCUUGCGGCCUCAAAGGGAUUAGGCUGCUCAGGUGUUGUUUUUAAAAGACUUAGAAUUAGCUCACAUUUAAACAUUUAAACUGUCUUUUGACACCACUUUCACCACCUUUUUGGUAAAAAAGAAGAUUGCCCCCACCCUGCAUUGCAGUAAACCUUAAGAUUAUGUUUGGUUCAUGACAACAAAAUUAUUUUAAGUGAUAUUUAAAAUUGUACAUAUGCAACUUUGUAAAACUUUGGCAGAGAUUUAAUUCUUUGGUUAUUAAUUACUGUAAAUUUAUUCAUGAAGCUUUUCUUGACGCUUUGAGUUGCUCAGUUCCACUGGGAGCAGUAACCUCUGUUAGUCUUUUGAUUCAGCAGUCCACACUUUGGCCUCAUUGCAGCCUCAGGAGAAUAAACACUUAUGCUAGAUGUAAAGAGAUGUUUGAGAAGCAGACCACGUAAGUGCAACCCGAAGAAGAAUAAUUGCAUACUUCAGGAAUUCUAUAAACAUGAUCUAUGAGAUAAUAUCAUGCUUCAUAGGACUAAUUUGUUCAUUUGUAUUCUGUGGUGUUGCUGUGGUUGGCCUCUGUUUAAGAUCCCUUAAAGGGAUGUUUUUACUUAAAAUGUAACAGUCUGUCAUCAUUUAUCUACCAUUAUGCCAUUUUAUCAGUGUUUCUAAUGCAAAACGCCAUAAAGAGGUAUUAACUGUUUUUCUUCAUCCAGUAAAAAUCCAAAAACACCAUUGGAUAUUUUUGUUCCAAAUAUCUGCUAAUGUGUUGAUUGCUGAUAGAUUGACAAUGCCUUUAAGUUUUUUUUUCAUUAUAAAAUACAAUGCACAAUUUUUAUAUAUAGAUUUUUUUUUUAUUGUUGUUGUUAUUAUUAUUAUUUUUUUUUAUUAAUUUUUUUGGUGGGGUAGAUAUUUUUGUGUGUGUUGCUGUUUAUCUGUUUAUUUUGGUUAUUCUGCUGUAAUCUUACUACACCCUUAAAAUAUCUGCUUGAAACCCACCUGCAUAGGAAUAACAAAAGGGACCACCAAGAUUAAAUGCAAGGUUUCCAUGGUAACUAGUUGAAGGCUGACUGCACUGACUUUAAAUGCCUACACAGACAUUACAGUCUCAGUUAUAGACUAGCAGUAUGGGGG